rnacentral:rRNA from 1 species
GACGUAGGGCGCGAGCGUUGUCCGGAUUUAUUGGGCGUAAAGAGCUCGUAGGCGGCUUGUCGCGUCGUCCGUGAAAACUUGGGGCUCAACCCCAAGCUUGCGGUCGAUACGGGCAGGCUAGAGUUCGGUAGGGGAGACUGGAAUUCCUGGUGUAGCGGUGAAAUGCGCAGAUAUCAGGAGGAACACCGAUGGCGAAGGCAGGUCUCUGGCCAUUAACUGACGCUGAGGAGCGAAAGCAUGGGGAGCGAACAGG